GACGAACGCUGUCGGCGUGCUUAACACAUGCAAGUCGAACGGAAAGGCCCUGCUUUUGUGGGGUGCUCGAGUGGCGAACGGGUGAGUAACACGUGAGUAACCUGCCCUUGACUUUGGGAUAACUUCAGGAAACUGGGGCUAAUACCGGAUAGGAGCUCCUGCUGCAUGGUGGGGGUUGGAAAGUUUCGGCGGUUGGGGAUGGACUCGCGGCUUAUCAGCUUGUUGGUGGGGUAGUGGCUUACCAAGGCUUUGACGGGUAGCCGGCCUGAGAGGGUGACCGGCCACAUUGGGACUGAGAUACGGCCCAGACUCCUACGGGAGGCAGCAGUGGGGAAUAUUGCACAAUGGGCGGAAGCCUGAUGCAGCAACGCCGCGUGCGGGAUGACGGCCCUCGGGUUGUAAACCGCUUUCGCCUGUGACGAAGCGUGAGUGACGGUAAUGGGUAAAGAAGCACCGGCUAACUACGUGCCAGCAGCCGCGGUGAUACGUAGGGUGCGAGCGUUGUCCGGAUUUAUUGGGCGUAAAGGGCUCGUAGGUGGUUGAUCGCGUCGGAAGUGUAAUCUUGGGGCUUAACCCUGAGCGUGCUUUCGAUACGGGUUGACUUGAGGAAGGUAGGGGAGAAUGGAAUUCCUGGUGGAGCGGUGGAAUGCGCAGAUAUCAGGAGGAACACCAGUGGCGAAGGCGGUUCUCUGGGCCUUUCCUGACGCUGAGGAGCGAAAGCGUGGGGAGCGAACAGGCUUAGAUACCCUGGUAGUCCACGCUGUAAACGGUGGGUACUAGGUGUGGGGUCCAUUCCACGGGUUCCGUGCCGUAGCUAACGCUUUAAGUACCCCGCCUGGGGAGUACGGCCGCAAGGCUAAAACUCAAAGGAAUUGACGGGGCCCCGCACAAGCGGCGGAGCAUGCGGAUUAAUUCGAUGCAACGCGUAGAACCUUACCUGGGUUUGACAUGGAUCGGGAGUGCUCAGAGAUGGGUGUGCCUCUUUUGGGGUCGGUUCACAGGUGGUGCAUGGCUGUCGUCAGCUCGUGUCGUGGGAUGUUGGGUUAAGUCCCGCAACGAGCGCAACCCUUGUUCACUGUUGCCAGCACGUUAUGGUGGGGACUCAGUGGAGACCGCCGGGGUCAACUCGGAGGAAGGUGGGGAUGACGUCAAGUCAUCAUGCCCCUUAUGUCCAGGGCUUCACGCAUGCUACAAUGGCUGGUACAGAGAGUGGCGAGCCUGUGAGGGUGAGCGAAUCUCGGAAAGCCGGUCUCAGUUCGGAUUGGGGUCUGCAACUCGACCUCAUGAAGUCGGAGUCGCUAGUAAUCGCAGAUCAGCAACGCUGCGGUGAAUACGUUCCCGGGGCU
rnacentral:rRNA from 1 species